rnacentral:rRNA from 1 species
AUUGAACGCUGGCGGCAGGCCUAACACAUGCAAGUCGAACGAGUGGCGGACGGGUGAGUAAUGUCUGGGAAACUGCCCGAUGGAAGGGGAUAACUACUGGAAACGGUAGCUAAUACCGCAUACCAUCGGAUGUGCCCAUCGGGGAUUAGCUAGUAGGUGGGGUAAAGGCUCACCUGGGCGACGAUCCCUAGCUGGUCUGAGAGGAUGACGGGCCCCACUGGAACGGAGACACGGUCCAGACUCCUACGGGAGGCACCAGGGGGGAAUAUUGCAAAAUGGGCGCAAGCCGGAUGCAGCCAUGCCGCGUGUAUGAAGAAGGCCUUCGGGUUUUAAAGUACUUUCAGCGGGGAGGCGGUACCCGCAGAAGAAGCACCGGCUAACUCCGUGCCAGCAGCCGCGGUAAUUC